rnacentral:rRNA from 1 species
GAUGAACGCUAGCGGGAGGCCUAACACAUGCAAGCCGAGCGGUAUUUCUUCUUCGGGAGAGAGAGAGCGGCGUACGGGUGCGGAACACGUGUGCAACCUGCCUUUAUCCAGAGGAUAGCCUUUCGAAAGGAAGAUUAAUACUCUAUAAUAUAUUAAUUGGCAUCAAUUGAUAUUGAAAACUCCGGUGGAUAGAGAUGGGCACGCGCAAGAUUAGCUAGUUGGUGAGGUAACGGCUCACCAAGGCAAUGAUCUUUAGGGGGCCUGAGAGGGUGAUCCCCCACACUGGUACUGAGGCACGGACCAGACUCCUACGGGAGGCAGCAGUGAGGAAUAUUGGUCAAUGGGUGCAAGCCUGAACCAGCCAUCCCGCGUGAAGGAUUAAGGUCCUAUGGAUUGUAAACUUCUUUUGUAUAGGGAUAAACCUACCCUCGUGAGGGUAGCUGAAGGUACUAUACGAAUAAGCACCGGCUAACUCCGUGCCAGCCGCCGCGGUAAAAC